rnacentral:rRNA from 1 species
UACGUAGGGGGCGAGCGUUGUCCGGAUUUAUUGGGCGUAAAGAGCUCGUAGGCGGUUUCUUAAGUCUGAUGUGAAAGCCCACGGCUCAACCGUGGAGGGUCAUUGGAAACUGGGGAACUUGAGUGCAGAAGAGGAAAGUGGAAUUCCAAGUGUAGCGGUGAAAUGCGUAGAGAUUUGGAGGAACACCAGUGGCGAAGGCGACUUUCUGGUCUGUAACUGACACUGAGGCGCGAAAGCGUGGGGAGCGAACAGG